UAUAUAAACGACUCUCGGCAACGGAUAUCUAGGCUCUUGCAUCGAUGAAGAACGUAGCGAAAUGCGAUACUUGGUGUGAAUUGCAGAAUCCCGUGAACCAUCGAGUUUUUGAACGCAAGUUGCGCCCGAAGCCAUUAGGUUGAGGGCACGUCUGCCUGGGCGUCACAU
rnacentral:rRNA from 1 species